AUAAAGAAAGUCUAGCCUUAGUAUCUGAUAAGAUUUUCACAAUGGCAUGACAGUGCUCUUUUUAACGUUGCACCCCUUUAUUUGGCAGUCCGAAUCUGACACGCAGAGAAAUCUGAAUCGCAGAGAAUGUUACCUGACGCAGAGAAUUUAGUCUUAUUUGCGAAUAUUUUGAAUUAAGCAAAUAGUGAAUUUAGCAAGUACCGUGUGGAACGCUGGCAAUAUUUGUCGCUAAAUUAUUGGGUUUGUGGCAUUGUGCGUAGUGCAUCGUGUUCCGGUGCCGUUGUUAACUGGCCAUUAAAGCUGAGUAGAGUACAGGAGUUGUGCAGUAUUCCAUGUUGAUAUUCGAAUCAUAGUGCAGUCAAAUUCAUCCACCAAAGAAGAAAAACCAAGAGACAAUAAAGUUGCAAGUUCCUUUUUUAAGCGUUCCGUUGUGAUCUUUAGCCCUAAAACUUGUGCCUGUGAUGAGUGGCCAACAUUUCCCAACCCCAUGGGUGAAUCAAGAUGGUGAAUACAACCACUCCCACACUUCCCAAAAAAUACACACUUCCCUCUGACCAAGUACUGGAGAGUGGUCAUUCAACCUUUGUAGGAGCUUAGAUGUGUUUACACGAUUAGCAAGCACGCACUUGGCAGUUGCCGUCAUAAAGUAAGCAUAGAUGAGAAUGUAUAAUUACAGAUCCUAUAUGUGUGGUAUCAUCCUCUUUAACGAGAACUGUUGCCAUGGAAAUACACAUCUUAACCUCAAGUACCUUUGCCUGACAGCAUGUAUACUCGCCAAUUACAGGAAUGAACGAUGUUCAAUAAACAAAUUGAAGUUGUCAGUUUUGUUGAAGAUUCUGUCAAGAUUUGAACCAAGGAAUCUGGGAGUAAUGGAAGGCACUCUUCUGAACUAACACACCAGCCCAGUGCAUACUGUUAAUUGAUUUAGGGGGACCUGGGCCGACUGGGCCCCUUCCACCACUGGAUAUAAUAUGAUAAAUUCACAGUCGACGUCAGAGAGACUUUAUGCUGUGAUGUAUAAGAAAUGCUUUUGGGAUUAGGGUGCUAGAUUGAGGACACUAUGGGUGUCAAGCCACUGCCGGAGGCUUUGCAGUCUAACCUUUUAAAUCUCAUCUAUACGAUUUCCACACUUUUUUUUUAACUGUUGCAGGGGUGUGUGGAGGAAACGAGCGCUCCUUUCGUCACCCCAGGAUCCCCCAAUGCUCAAAACAAUUUAGACAAUUUUUUUAGACAGGUUUUUUAACAUAAUAUUCUAAUGCAGUUAAGUUGUUAGCAUUUAAUUAUAUAUAAUUAUGUUAUGUUAUGCUUUGUUUUCUGUAUGUUGUUUAUUUUUGAACUAAAUACAAAAAGAAAAAAGUCUCAUUCUAAACGUCGUCUUCAAGUUGUGUCUAAAGUAUGCAUUAAAUGAUAGGAACAUAAUGCGAGUAAUAAAGAGAUAAAUUAAG